rnacentral:rRNA from 1 species
UCGAGCGCCGUAGCAAUACGGAGCGGCAGACGGGAGAGUAACACGUGGGAACGUGCCCUUUGGUUCGGAACAACACAGGGAAACUUGUGCUAAUACCGGAUAAGCCCUUACGGGGAAAGAUUUAUCGCCAAAGGAUCGGCCCGCGUCUGAUUAGCUUGUUGGUGAGGUAACGGCUCACCAAGGCGACGAUCAGUAGCUGGUCUGAGAGGAUGAUCAGCCUCACUGGGACUGAGACACGGCCCAGACUCCUACGGGAGGCAGCAGUGGGGAAUAUUGGACAAUGGGCGCAAGCCUGAUCCAGCCAUGCCGCGUGGAUGAUGAAGGCCCUAGGGUUGUAAAGUCCUUUCGGCGGGGAAGAUAAUGACGGUACCCGCAGAAGAAGCCCCGGCUAACUUCGUGCCAGCAGCCGCGGUAAUACGAAGGGGGCUAGCGUNGCUCGGAAUCACUGGGCGUAAAGCGCACGU